rnacentral:rRNA from 1 species
UACGAGUGGUGCUAGCGUUAUUCGGAAUAAUUGGGCGUACAGGGUGCGUAGACGGUAUGUUAAGUCUGCUGUUAAAUCCUCCGGCUUAACCGGAGAUAUGCGGUGGAAACUGGCGUACUAGAGGGUGGAAGAGAGAAGUGGAAUUCUCGGUGUAGCGGUAAAAUGCGUAGAUAUCGAGAGGAACACCGAUGGCGAAGGCAGCUUCUUGGUCCAUUCCUGACGUUGAGGCACGAAAGCGUGGGGAGCAAACAGG